CGGUAAUUCCAGCUCCAAUAGCGUAUACUAAAGUUGUUGCAGUUAAAAAGCUCGUAGUUGGAUUUCUGCGGGGACGGAGCGGCCGGUCGCAACUUGCGACUCGAGCUAGCGCUUUCCCCGCAUCCUGCCGCGAACCGUGCUACCAUUAGUUUGGUGGCGCUGGGGAUCGGCUCGAUUACUUUGAGAAAAAUAGAGUGUUCAAAGCAGGCCACACGCCUUGAAUAAGUUAGCAUGGAAUAAUGACUAAGGACUUUGGUUCUUUUCGUUGGUGUUCGGGACUGAAGUAAUGAUUGAUAGGGACAGUUGGGGCGGUCCGUAUUCCAAAGCGAGAGGUGAAAUUCUUAGACCUUCGGAAGACGAACAGCUGCGAAAGCGUUCCGCAAGGAUGUUCCCUUUGAUCAAGAACGAAAGUUGGGGGAUCGAAGACGAUCAGAUACCGUCGUAGUCUCAACUAUAAACUAUACCAGCUAGGGAUCGGCCAACGUUUAAUUAUUCGACUUGGUCGGCACCUUAUGAGAAAUCAAAGCAUCUGGGUUCCGGGGGGAGUAUGGUCGCAAGGCUGAAACUUAAAGGAAUUGACGGAAGGGCACCACCAGCCGUGGAGCCUGUGGCUUAAUUUGACUCAACACGGGAAAACUUACCAGGUCCGGACAUAGUAAGGAUCGACAGAUUGAUAGCUCUUUCUUGAUUCUGUGGGUGGUGGUGCAUGGCCGUUUUUAGUCGGUGGAUGUGAUCUGUCUGCUUAAUUGCGUUAACGGACGAGACCCCAGCCUGCUAAAUAGCGCGGCCGAGCUUUGCUCGGUGCGAGCUUCUUAGAGGGACCAUGAUGCGCGAUAGCACAAGGAAGUUUGGGGCAACAACAGGUCUGUGAUGCCCUUAGAUGUUCUGGGCCGCACACGGGCUACACUGGCGCCUGCAACGAGCAUAUCAGCUGGCCCGAGAGGGUCUUGGCUAAUCUUUGGAACCGGCGCCGUGCUUGGGAUUGACCAUUGCAAUUGUUGGUCAUGCAACGAGGAAUGCCUUGUAAACGCGAGUCAUCAGCUCGCAUUGAAUACGUCCCUGCCCUUUGUACACACCGCCCGUCGCUCCUACCGAUGAAUGUUCCGAUGAAAUUUUCGGAGAGCACCAGAGAACGGGGCUCUGCCUUGCAGAUCUGGAGGCUCAAAGUCACUUAAAUCUGAACAUUUCGAGGAAGGAGAAGUCGUAACAAGGUAACC
rnacentral:rRNA from 1 species